UGAGGCCAGCAGGAGGGAAAUGGUGAGACCCUGUCAAACAAGAACAGAAUAGGCUUAAAGAUGAAGCUCACUGGCAGAACACUUGCCUAAAAUUCCUGAGGCAGAGAACUCCAUGUUCAGCACCAUAAAAAAUACAAUAAACUAUUCAACGUAAGGGCCAGAGACAGCUUAAAGGGUAACAGUAUUUGCUACUCUUCAGGAGGCUCCAAGUUUGAUUCCAAGCACCCCCAUGGCAUCUCAAACCAUCUGUAAUUCCAAGUCCAGAAAUCUGACACUGUAUUGUGGACUCUGAGAGAUCACUGCAUGCACAUGGGUGCACAGACAUACAGGCAAAUACAGAAGAUAGCAUGGACAUUCUCAAGCCAAAGUAUCCCUGAUUUUCAGAUACACCACACUGGCAGGAUCCAGUUUGGGUAGUCCAACAAUGCGUCAUGCUAGAAAGGCCAAUAAUCCUGUGGUUAAUCCGUCCACAAGGCUGGCUAUUUCAGCUGUCCCAGGUCCCCACUGAAGUCCUAAAGGAUGCCUGGAGAGCCGCUAAUCUUCAUCUGCUGGAAUCCCAAAGAAAUUGACUCUAACAUGGGUGAAGAAAUGCCUCUGAAACAGAACAAGCAAAAGUGAGCGCAAACAGGCAAAGAGCAGUUUCCUUCUUCCAAGCCCUUUUAUCUGGGCCUCGACCACAACCAAAGCGUCUAAGACCGCUAAGG